UGAUACUUGGAAUGAGCAGCAGCAUCUACUGAAAGUUGAGCCAUUAAAGUAUUAGCUUUAUCAUCUUGCUAAUAGCUAGCAAUCAAAUGGUUUUUCCAAGUUGAAACAAUUACAGACUGAAGUGCGUAAAUCCCUUGAGUAGCAGAUGUGGCCUCCUGCAGAGAGCAUCUGUAGGCUUAUUAUCACUGCCUCUUCUAUAAAGAAUUUUAUAGUCUAGCCUUAAAAAGUUAGAAAUUCCUCUUUGCUUCAAAUUUGUGUGAAGUCUCUGCUCCAAUAGAUACUUGAUGCUUUCGUGAUCAGUCUUGAUAUAAAAGGUGCCC
rnacentral:misc_RNA from 1 species